rnacentral:rRNA from 1 species
GACGAACGCUGGCGGCGUGCCUAAUACAUGCAAGUUGAGCGAUGAAGAUUGGUGCUUGCACCAAUUUGAAGAGCAGCGAACGGGUGAGUAACGCGUGGGGAAUCUGCCUUUGAGCGGGGGACAACAUUUGGAAACGAAUGCUAAUACCGCAUAAUAACUUUAAACAUAAGUUUUAAGUUUGAAAGAUGCAAUUGCAUCACUCAAAGAUGAUCCCGCGUUGUAUUAGCUAGUUGGUGAGGUAAAGGCUCACCAAGGCGAUGAUACAUAGCCGACCUGAGAGGGUGAUCGGCCACAUUGGGACUGAGACACGGCCCAAACUCCUACGGGAGGCAGCAGUAGGGAAUCUUCGGCAAGAGACGAAAGUCUGACCGAGCAACGCCGCGUGAGUGAAGAAGGUUUUCGGAUCGUAAAACUCUGUUGGUAGAGAAGAACGUUGGUGAGAGUGGAAAGCUCAUCAAGUGACGGUAACUACCCAGAAAGGGACGGCUAACUACGUG